AUUGAACGCUGGCGGCAUGCCUUACACAUGCAAGUCGAACGGCAGCACGGGAGCAAUCGUGGUGGCGAGUGGCGAACGGGUGAGUAAUACAUCGGAACGUGCCCAAUCGUGGGGGAUAACGCAGCGAAAGCUGUGCUAAUACCGCAUACGAUCUACGGAUGAAAGCAGGGGAUCGCAAGACCUUGCGCGAAUGGAGCGGCCGAUGGCAGAUUAGGUAGUUGGUGAGGUAAAGGCUCACCAAGCCGUCGAUCUGUAGCUGGUCUGAGAGGACGACCAGCCACACUGGGACUGAGACACGGCCCAGACUCCUACGGGAGGCAGCAGUGGGGAAUUUUGGACAAUGGGCGAAAGCCUGAUCCAGCCAUGCCGCGUGCAGGAUGAAGGCCUUCGGGUUGUAAACUGCUUUUGUACGGAACGAAACUGCCUUUUCUAAUAAAGAGGGCUAAUGACGGUACCGUAAGAAUAAGCACCGGCUAACUACGUGCCAGCAGCCGCGGUAAUACGUAGGGUGCAAGCGUUAAUCGGAAUUACUGGGCGUAAAGCGUGCGCAGGCGGUUAUGUAAGACAGUUGUGAAAUCCCCGGGCUCAACCUGGGAACUGCAUCUGUGACUGCAUAGCUAGAGUACGGUAGAGGGGGAUGGAAUUCCGCGUGUAGCAGUGAAAUGCGUAGAUAUGCGGAGGAACACCGAGGGCGAAGGCAAUCCCCUGGACCUGUACUGACGCUCAUGCACGAAAGCGUGGGGAGCAAACAGG
rnacentral:rRNA from 1 species